rnacentral:rRNA from 1 species
UACGUAGGGUGCGAGCGUUAAUCGGAAUUACUGGGCGUAAAGCGUGCGCAGGCGGCUUUGUAAGCCAGAUGUGAAAUCCCCGGGCUCAACCUGGGAAUGGCAUUUGGGACUGCAAGGCUCGAGUUUGGCAGAGGAGACUGGAAUUCCUGGUGUAGCAGUGAAAUGCGUAGAUAUCAGGAGGAAUACCGAUGGCGAAGGCAGGUCUCUGGGCUGAAACUGACGCUCAUGCACGAAAGCGUGGGGAGCAAACAGG